rnacentral:rRNA from 1 species
AGAUUGAACGCUGGCGGCAUGCCUUACACAUGCAAGUCGAACGGCAGCACGGGGGCAACCCUGGUGGCGAGUGGCGAACGGGUGAGUAAUAUAUCGGAACGUGCCCUGGAGUGGGGGAUAGCUCGGCGAAAGCCGGAUUAAUACCGCAUACGAUCUAAGGAUGAAAGUGGGGGAUCGCAAGACCUCAUGCUCCUGGAGCGGCCGAUAUCUGAUUAGCUAGUUGGUAGGGUAAAAGCCUACCAAGGCAUCGAUCAGUAGCUGGUCUGAGAGGACGACCAGCCACACUGGAACUGAGACACGGUCCAGACUCCUACGGGAGGCAGCAGGUGGGAAUUUGGACAAGUGGGGG